UUGUUCGUAUAGUCUGUAAAUAGGGGAUUUUGUUACAAUCACUAAUUGUAACAAAAUCCCCUAUUUACAGACUAUACGAACAA